GUUUCCUCUAUGUUGAUUUGGUAGUGGCGACCCGCCACGGUUUAAUUUCCUUCCCCCACGGUAUCAGAAAUGGGGCAGACGCACAAUAGUCGCAGUUGCCUUUUAAAUGAUCCUGCCGACAUUAUGCAUCCCCCGUUGGCGGCCGCUAACAUUGCAAUUUAACAACAAGCAGAACUAUUCAGAGGUUUGGGGCUGUUAAGUUUAACUCCACAUAGUGUGUUGAUGUGCUUGUGGUCCAAACGUUUGCUUUCUUCUGAGUCACUAUUAAACUACACCUCCACCAAAAACGUCACCGCGGUGGGUCCAUUUUAAUAAGACAACGUUCAACUUGUCAGUUCUGACAGCUCACGUCCUGGUAUCAAACAUCUGGAAACAUUAAAACGAUGAGUUUGUUAAAAUAUUUCUCUAAGAAAAGGAAGACGCCUGAAGAUGAAGAUAACCAGGAUAUGGACAAGCUUACCAUACUGAGCAAACUGGCAUCCCAACAUGAUAAGUGGUGUCAGAUCUACCCCUCCCUCAGUAAGCUGGCAGCCAUUGCCUUUACAGUGCCAAUCUCAAGUGUCAACUGUGAGAGAGAUUUCUCCACCAUGAACAGGGUGAAAACAGACUUAAGGAACAGGCUGCAGGGGGACAAUCUAGCAGCAUGUAUGCUACUCAGCAUCAAUGGACCACCUCUUUCUGAAUUCCCCUAUAACCGAGCCUUGGAGUUAUUUUUCCAAAAGCCAAGAAAAAUUAAAUGUGCACAGCAAGGCUGCCAACUUUGCCACUGAGGCAAAGAUGGUAUUUGUUUCAUUAUGAAGUUUC